rnacentral:lncRNA from 1 species
CUACUUCUUUUUUUUAAUCAUCUAUGAAUUCCACGUGACAGGAGAACAGGGCCUUAUUCAUUCACACGACUUCUGCUGUGCUGCAGGAGCCUUCCCGGGAGUCGCCGCAGGGAAGCGGCGAUGGACAGCUGUGGCAUGCACGUGUCACUUGGAUGACUGCUACAGCCUUUGGGAGUGGCAAGCUGUUGUUAUUCAGUUGUGGCAACCCAACACAAGCUGCACAUGUGUUUCUUGGAAAGAAGCAGGACUGGGGGUGUCUGGUUCUAUGCCUCUGGAAGAAGCAGUACAGAAGGAGUAGUCUGAAAGAAGUGGGGGAGAAAUACAGCCUUAAGCUACUUCUGUUCCAUCUGGAUACUUGGCUACUGUGAGAGAUACACCUCCCAGAGGUUUAUUAUAAUAAGUUCUGAGGUGUCAGGAAAAAUAUGGUAAAAGAAAUAGUUGCACCUCACCAAGCAAAACCAAGAGUGCCACAAGAGCCUUCAGGUACUUUGACUGGCCCAAAAGUCAAGUAGUACAUCACGGGCCACCGCCAGUACAUCGGCCCCUCCAGACCAGCCGCCGCCGGACCGGACCCGGAGGACGCCGCCGCCUGAACCGC